UUUUAUUAAAAUUUAAUUUAAUUUAAUCAUUAAAUGUAAAUCAUUAAAAAUAAAAAAUUUGGCGGUAUUUAUUAUUUAGAGGAACUUGUUUAUUAAAUUGAUAAUCCACGAAUGGAUAAACUUAAUAAUUUUUUUUAUGUAUUGUUGUUGUAAAAUUAUAUUAAUAGGUAUUAAUUAAUAAAUUUAAUUUAAUUAUAAUUCAAAUCAAAAUGUAGAAUAAUUAAGAGUUUAAUGAGUUACAAUUAAGUUAAUUUUAUUGGAUUUUUAAUAAUUUAAUUUUAUAAAUGAAAGUGGAUUUAAAAGUAAAUAUAUAUAAAUUUAUAAAUGAA
rnacentral:rRNA from 1 species